GAUGAAGAACGCAGCGAAAUGCGAUAAGUAAUGUGAAUUGCAGAAUUCAGUGAAUCAUCGAAUCUUUGAACGCUCAUUGCGCCCGCCAGUAUUCUGGCGGGCAUGCCUGUUCGAGCGUCAUUUCAACCAUCAAGCCCCCGGCUUGUGUUGGGGACCUGCGGCUGCCGCAGGCCCUGAAAUGCAGUGGCGGGCUCGCUGUCACUCCGAGCGUAGUAGUUACAUCUCGCUCUGGGCGUGCUGCGGGUUCCGGCCGUUAAAAGCCUUAUUUACCCAAGGUUGACCUCGGAUCAGGUAGGAAGACCCGCUGAACUUAAGCAUAUCAAUAAGCGGAGGA
rnacentral:misc_RNA from 1 species